GAUGAAGAACGCAGCGAAAUGCGAUACUUGGUGUGAAUUGCAGAAUCCCGUGAACCAUCGAGUCUUUGAACGCAAGUUGCGCCCGAAGCCACUAGGCCGAGGGCACGCCUGCCUGGGCGUCACACGUCGUUGCCCCCCCCCAUCUACUCCUUCGGGAUUGCGGGGGGCGGAUGAUGGCCUCCCGUGCGCCUAGCCGCGCGGUUGGCAUAAAUACCAAGUCCUCGGCGACGCACGCCACGACAAUCGGUGGUUGCGAAACCUCGGUUGCCCGUCGUGUGCGUUCGUCGCGCAUCGAGGGCUCGAAAAAAUGCUCGGCUCCGGCUCGGCUUUCAACGCGACCCCAGGUCAGGCGGGGUUACCCGCUGAAUUUAAGCAUAUCAUAAGCGGAGGA
rnacentral:misc_RNA from 1 species